CUUGUUGGUAGGGUAGAAGCCUACCAAGGCAAUGAUGCGUAGCCGAGUUGAGAGACUGGCCGGCCACAUUGGGACUGAGACACUGCCCAAACUCCUACGGGAGGCUGCAGUAGGGAAUUUUCCGCAAUGCACGAAAGUGUGACGGAGCGACGCCGCGUGUGUGAUGAAGGCUUUCGGGUCGUAAAGCACUGUUGUAAGGGAAGAAUAACUGAAUUCAGAGAAAGUUUUCAGCUUGACGGUACCUUACCAGAAAGGGAUGGCUAAAUACGUGCCAGCAGCCGCGGUAAUACGUAUGUCCCGAGCGUUAUCCGGAUUUAUUGGGCGUAAAGCGAGCGCAGACGGUUUAUUAAGUCUGAUGUGAAAUCCCGAGGCCCAACCUCGGAACUGCAUUGGAAACUGAUUUACUUGAGUGCGAUAGAGGCAAGUGGAACUCCAUGUGUAGCGGUGAAAUGCGUAGAUAUGUGGAAGAACACCAGUGGCGAAAGCGGCUUGCUAGAUCGUAACUGACGUUGAGGCUCGAAAGUAUGGGUAGCAAACGGGAUUAGAUACCCCGGUAGUCCAUACCGUAAACGAUGGGUGCUAGUUGUUAAGAGGUUUCCGCCUCCUAGUGACGUAGCAAACGCAUUAAGCACCCCGCCUGAGGAGUACGGCCGCAAGGCUAAAAC
rnacentral:rRNA from 1 species